GCAAUACGUUUUUUCCUAAAGCAACACUGUUAUUUCUUAAACUCCAGCCAGCUACUGCCCUCUUUGGACUUUGAGCCCAAGGGGAAAAGGAGAUCAGCAAGCGUUAGAACCAUUUCUCCUUAACUAAUCAGAGGGACUUGGAAAGAGCAAUGGAAAGGGAAGACCUUUCUUUGUCACCAUGGGAGUCAACGUUGUAGGAGUUAUCCACAUCAACUGAGACCACCCUGUGUAUCAUGGGAGGCAGACACCCCCUAAGCUGAGAAACGCUAACAUAAGAGGAGCAGUUAAAGAGUAGUUCUCAGCUGGGGCUCUGGAAGGAAAGAGCAUCGUAAGAGAAAAGCCUAUGCAUUUAUUUCAUGCGGGAGAGAUCCGAAGAUGUGUGCGAGCGCCUGCCCGGAGUCAGACUGCGAUGAAAGCCAGGGAUGCCUUUGGUGGCCCCUGAAAUGCUCAGUCUUCCUCCUGCCCAGCGGUGUGGUGAUCUCCAGCAUACACUUCAAGAGCACCUCCCUACCAGAUCCCACCUGAGCAAAGGUUCUGAGCUCGUAGCAUUACUGUUUCGAAGAAACAUGACGGUGCUUUC